UGUCACCCAGGCUGGAGUGCAGUGGUGUGAUCUUGGCUCACUGCAACCUCUGCCUCCCGGGUUCAAGCGAUUCUCCUGUCUCAGUCUCCUGAGUAGUGGGGACUACAGGCAGGCAACACCAAGCCUGGCUAAUUUUGUAUAUUUGGUAGAGACAGGGUUUCACCAUGUUGGCCAGGCUGGUCUCAAACUCCUGACUUCAGGUGAUCCUGACCUUGGCUUCCCAAAGUGCUAGGAUUCCAGGCGUGAGCCACCGCACCUGGCUUGCAAAUUUCUAUUUCUAAUUGAGCCAGCAUUUCUUCCCAAAGGUUCACUGGAAAAUCACUGACAUGAAGAAGAUUGAUUAAUAGGAAAAAAGGCAUACACAUUUAUUUAAUGUGUAUACACAGGAGCCUUCAGAAUGAAGACCCAAAGAUAGAGGGGAAAUUGUCCACUUUUACACUUAGGUUCAAGACAGUAUGGAUAGUCACAUAGAAAUAUGACUGGACAAAAAGGGUCUGAUGGAAUGCUAGACUAGACUGAGUAGAAAGCGCAGCAAGGCCUGUCUGCCUAGAUUCUUCCAGGCAUCCAUGCCGCAUUCCUUCCUUCUGGGUAUGGGACAGGAUCCUUUCUGGAGUGGGGGUCUUAUGACCUACAGUCAAAUAAGAUAGGUUAGAUGAGGUCUUUAUGGCCAGUUUUUACACAGAAAGGUGGAAGGAAAGCUAGAGUUGUAUUUUAGGUUUUAUGGCUGGCUUUGGGGAAAAGGGGUUCUGGUUUUUAUAUCCGCCUUGGGGAAGAGGGAUUCUGGUUUCUAUGGCUGGCCUCGGGGAGAAUGAGGGGCAAGAGAUAGGAGGGCAGGAGAAGAUCAGAGAAAAACUUUUGCUUCUGAGGCUAAGCCUUCCUUUUGGGGUAUUGUUUUCUGAGUCCCAACACUUGUUAUUUGGAACAACUCAUUAGAAUGUAGGGACUGGGGCUAUGUCAUGUAUUAACAUCUCCCAGGGAGCUGUCAGCCUCCCUCAGCAAAUGCUUCCUGAAUGCAUGAAUGAACCAAUGAGUGUUGGCCAUGCAAAGUCAGUAGUUUUCUGCCAACCCCAUGAGUUCCACCAGUCGUCUCCAGAGAUUCCUUGCAAAGAACUUGGUACUGGGGCAUGUACUUAUAAUGUCUCCUUCUUUUUCCUUCUAUUCUAUCAUCCUGUGUCUUGUCCAGCCUCCAGGAGUUCAGUGAGAAAGGAAACACACACACACACACUACAAAAACCAGGAGAAAAAAACCAUUAAAAAAUCCCACUGUAGGAAGAUUCUGCUGCCUCUAGACUUUAGGAAAGCCGCUGACCUAAUUCAUUUGCUAUGGUGGCUUUUUCAUCCUCAGGACUGGUGCUGCCUGUGUAGUUCAGCCUGUGAAGGCUCCCUUUCAAGUAGGCCAGCUGCAUGGUAUUCUGGACUUACAAUGUGCAGGGCAGAUGUAGUGUCCCCUUGAAAUACACUUAACGGUGGGCAACAAAAUCCAAAAGCAAACCCCCACAAAUAUCUAACUUAAAAAAAAAGAACUUUCUAGAUCUCAGUCCUCAUCUGGAUACUUCAUUAGGAUCCUGAGACAUCUGGGGACCAGCGAUGGAAAGAAGGAAAGAGACUUCCAUAUGUUGAGAGCCUAUUAUAUGCCUGCAUUGUGCUAAGCCCUUUCCCAUAUGUUAUCCAAUGUAAUCCCCCACAAAAGCCCUGCCAGAGUGGAAUUAUUCUUCUCAUUUUACAAAUAAGAAAACAGUAGCUCGGAGAUGCUAAGUUACUCGCCCAAGGUCACAUAGACGGUAAGUGGUAGAUGCUGAUUUGAAUCCAGACAGUGUCAUUAUCAAGGGGUGGUUUGGGAGGCUUUCGUUGUAACCAUCAUCUGUAGCAGCCCCCUUCUCCACAAUUAUCCCAAAUAAACACACAAUCUAAGUCGGAAGAGCCUACAGGAGGCAAAAAUGUAGCUUCAAUAUGUGCUUCCCUGUCAUCUCCCUUUCAUUGAGAUUAUUGCUGCCCCAAAUCCUGUCUACACAGACAUUCUGGAGUCCGUACUAAAUCAAGAUUUGUCUGGCUGCAAAGACCAUGUUCUGUCCAACACAACCAGGAUGCCUCUUCUCUUAGAUUCCUACCAAGAAGACCUUGCUUCUUGAAACCCUUACCUAGAAGAGCCAAUGAAUCAGUGUAGGAUUUCCCUAAUGGUGGCUGGCACCAUAGGUUCCAAAAUGUCACCACCAGCUCUAAGUCAUCAGCCCUUUAAACGCCUCCACACAUCCCGGGGUAUACUGACGCGAGGAGUCACAGUGGGUAAGCAUCACUAGGUUGCAGAAGCACUGGGCUAAUGGUGUGGAUGAGGGUUUCAAUUUACUUGGAAACAUCCACGGGCCAAGGUUCAGUUCAUUUUAGGUUUCGACUAAGUUUUUCCAGGCUCUAAAUGUAGAGAGCAGGGGUGUUUAAAGUGACUGUCCUGACACAGGCUGUUCCCUAGGGGCCACUCUAGCUUCCUUCUUGGAAGUGUGAUGUGGGUCCAGAGUUCAGGCCAGCCACGGUCUUGGAUUCCAGAUGGGAGUUCAUUUUUAGAGACCAAAUGGUCAUAAGUGAACAUGUCAUCUUGGGCUAGCUGGAAAAUACAAACACCAGCCCAGAGUCCAGGAAUUCAGGAUUGUAAAUAGGUGAAAGCACCCUUCACCUUCUCUCCUCCUUCCCUCAAGGUGGUUCACAUACAACUAUUAGCAAUUGACAUUCAUAGCUCUUGUACUUCACAGUAUUUUCAUGCCUGGGACUCUGUUUUGAUCCCUGCAAGUACAGUGUUAUGAUACUCCUUUUAUGGAUGAUGAAUUGGAGACACCAAGAGGUUCAGAGCUUCUUCCAAAGUCAUAGAGCCAGUGAGUUGUGAAGACGAGGGGCUCAGUCUUCCGAUUCAUGCAAAGGGUUGAUGUGACAUUUUCAGAGCCUAGUUCUAGCUUCAUUGUGCUGGAAAGUGGUCUUGGCCUGAGGACAGCAGGGUGCUUCAGAGUCCAGUCUGAUGCCCUUUGGCAGCCACACACCCUCCUGUGAAGGCACCACAAAUUCCUUGGGAGGGAGACGCGUUCCAGAUGUGUAUGCCGCCUCUAGAGAAAACGUGGCUUCUUCUGGUGAGCCACAUGCAAGGUGUCUCGCUGGCCACUGUGAAGUGGGGAGAGACGCCUGGAGCAAGCCAUGAUCUCUGCCAGCACUGGAAUCACCAACAUCCUUGAGCUUCCUUCAGUCUGAUGCAGAACCUGAGGACGUGGCCAUCUCUUGGUGGUGUUCUGGGAAAGCAGGAAGUCUUCAGACCUGAUUGUCUUCAGAUUUCAGCCAUGGGCUCCCUGGUGAGCCAUCUCAGGGGUAUAGGAAACAUGGAUGCCGCCCCGGAGGCAGCUCUCAGGUUUGCUGAAAAAUCAACUCACAAAAGGAGAUUAAUUGGAAUAAAGGCAUACAGAUCAAUAUGCGCAUGGGGGAGAACCGUGGAGUGAUUACCCCACCAUCUGCAUUGAGGUAUAGAAGCUUACAUCCCAUCCUACAGUUACAGAGAGAAUGGGGGCUCAGAGCAUGGCCCAAACCAGACUAUGGUGGAACAGCAGGUUAUGGAGGCAAGAUAGGUUAUUUGGGGGGAAGAAAGGGAGUCGUGGCUAACAAAGGUGAUCUUGUUAUGCAGAGGAAAUCCCACAGAUAGCAGCCCUCAAAGAGAACAGAUGAUAAUUCUUUUUUUUUUUUUUUUUUUUUUUUUUUUUUUUUUUUUUUUUUUUUUAAGAUGGAGACUUGCUCUGUCGCCCAGUCUGGAGUGCAGUGGUGCCAUCUCAGCUCACUGCAACCUCCGCCUCCCGGGUUCCAGUGAUUCUCCUGCCUCAGCCUACUGAGUAGCUGAGAUUACAGGCAUGUGUCACCAUGCCUGGCUAAUUUUUAUAUCUUUAGUAGAGAUGGGUUUCACCAUGUUGGCCAGGCUGGUCUCAAUCUCCUGACCUCAGAUGAUCUGCUCAUCUCGGCCUCCCAAAGUGCUGGGAUUACGGGGAUAAUCCUUUUUUAGACCUUUAAACAUGUCAGACUCUUGGUUAAUCUUUCCUAGAUCUGGACAAGGGAAGGUCUUGGAGAAGGCCUGAUUGCAUCUCUGCAGAUGCAAAUCUCCCCCACGAAAGACAGCUCUUCAGGGAAUCUUCUGUUUGCUGGCUCUCUGAACAACCUUCUCAAAAGAUGUCAAUGACCUAUGUUUUCUAUUGAAAUAUUUUUAUUUCUUCCAGCGCAAUCUGGGAUCUCAGGGGCUGACAGCAGAGAAGUUACCUGAAGGCGCAACAAGCAGUGGUCCCUGUAGGCAGAAGCUACCUGGUGCCCCAGUGAUGUGGGAGGCCCUCAGUUCCUGCGCUUCUUGCUGCCUGGGCACAUGUUCCCGGAGGAUGGCAGGACCUCCUGGCCUCUCCCCUGUCUACCCGCCAGAGCUCUGCUUCUUAAGAUAAGACCACCUCUUUCCUCCAGCCAAUGUGCUGCUCUUCUGACUUCAAAACACUUGCACUUCCAGGGCUCAACGUACAGUGAGUUCUCAAGGAUUCGGUGAAUAAAUGUACAAAUGUCUCCCGUUACAGCUGCCACAUUCAGUGGGGUAGGUCUUAUGAUCAUUUCUCUGAGGAAGGGUGCUGUGCUCAUGGUCUCAGUCUGCAAAUUGCAGACUGAGAAUCCAACGAAGGCACCUGCUCUCUGCCCCCGCACCCCCCCACCGGCCCCAAGGCUGACCCUCUCCUCCCCUGGUAUCAGCUCGAAGCAUUGUUGGAGUCCCCAGGGACCCGGAUGCUUCCCUGUGUGCCCUGUCUUUGAGGUGCCCGCCAUCUCAAGUCAAGACACACAGCAGGGUGUGAGAGGCCAGGGAGCCCAUGGGAAUUCCAGGGGAUGCUCUCAGCGUGUUUUGUGAGGAACGACUGGCUCACCUAGUCAGGCCUGGGACAAAAUAUCACCUGCUGAAGGAUGAUUGGCUGUGGCGCUGGCCUUGUGCUGGAAGAGGGCCUCUGAGAGCACAGGGAACUGCCCCUGGGCAUUUUCUCACAAUUGUUCCGAGGGUUAGAGGCUGGAUCCCAGGAACCGCGUGUGGCCACUCUGUCCUUCUUCAGAGAGAGAUUCAACUUCCGGAGCCAGGGUCACCCCUAAUGGCUCACUUCCCUUCCUUCCCCUGCCAGGAUUUUCCCCCAGAUUAUCUUGGGGUUGUCUCAGCCCUUACCAUACCUCAUCCUUCCCAGCAGCAGCCCGCCAGCCCCACGCGGAGUGUUCUACUCUUUCCAAAGACAGCCCACAUUUCGGGGUCUCCUGCACCCCCAAAUGUGGGAUUGGUAAGAUGCACGCUUCCUGACUUGGGUUUCUUCUUUCAUUUGCAGUUAAAAACCAUGACCACAAAAGAGACAUCCACAACUCGCUGUAAUAGGCGCUUGCAUAAUAGACGUGGGGACAGUGUUUGGGGGAACAGGAUAGGGUGGCUCUGUUUUUCCAACAGUUGUGAGAUUCAUUUUGGUGAAGUAAGAAGGUUUUACAGGGUCCUCUAAGACAGAAGGGGUUUCCUGGGAAGGAAGCUGGCUUAUCAACCUGCCUCCUCUCGCUCACCUGGUGCUAGCUGCUUACUUUCCACCCUUUGCCCUCUGCUGAAGGGAGAGUUUGAACAUCUUUAGAUUCUUUUCUUUGCUUGGCAAGAUGUGCUGUAUUUAUUCAACUUAGCCUCAAGGUUAAGCACACAGACCCUUGUCAGAAGCCAGACAGCGAGUGUUCAAAUCCCAGCUGUGUCACUUACCAGCUCUGUCACACCUUGGGGAUGUGACUUCACUUGCCUUGAUUUCCUCAUCAGUGAAAUGGGGAUAAUAAUAGUACUUGCCCCAUAAACAGGGAUAAUAGUACUUACCUUAUAUAAUAAGGAUUACAUGUAAACAUUUAAUAUACAUAAAGCUCUUGUUUGUUUGUUUUUAGAGACAGGGUCUCAGUCUGUCAUCCAGGCUGGAGUGCAGUGGCAAGAUGCUAGCUCACUGCAGCCUUGACCUCCUGGGCUCAAGGAAUCUUCCUAUUUCAGCUUCCUGAGUAGCUAGGAGUACAGGUGCAUGCCACCAUACCUGGCUAUUUUUAAAACAUGCUUUUAUAUAGAUGGGGUCUUGCUCUGUUUCCCAGGCUAGUUUUGAACUUCUGGCCUCAAGCACUCCUCCCACCUCAGCCUCCAAAGUAUGGGGAUUAUAGGCAUGAGCCACUGUGCCCAGCCAAACAGCUCUUAAAAUAUACAAAAGCUCUUAAAAUAGUGCCUAGCACAGUGUUUACUAUUGUCACUAUCUACUUGGAUUCUCUGCCUGUUGGUCUCCACUUUGCACAAUUAUUUGUGGACAUUUGAGAUCGUCGAGUUCUCGAGAACCAGUCAGGCUGAUUUACCUCCAAUGUACGUGUAAUAUGUUUUUUUCCUUUUCUGGAACUGAGCAACAUCCUCCAAGUUUGUCCACUCUCCGAGUGUCUUAACUGCCCCCGGUAGAGAGGCAUUUAGCAAACAGAAACAGAUUACAGAGACCCUCGUGGCCACAUGCAAUUUGCAGUUGCUCUCAAGAGUGGGUGUGGUCACUUGUUGUUCCCUUUAGCCAUCAUAUCAGCUGCCUGGGUGAGGGGUCAGUGUGCCAAACGUUCCUGGUGGGAAAUGACUUGGUUUCCCAUAUGAGCCCCGACCUUCACUGGCCUCUCCCUCUUAGAACUCCCAUUAACCACCAUGUGUGCUGGUCACUGCAGCUGAAUCCAUCCACAGGGGCUGCCCAGAAAAAGACAAUGACUUCUGCAGGGCUGGGGAGGCUGUCCUCGUGAAAAUAACUGAAUCUACCCGAGUGUGUGGCCUGUGCUGGGGAAACGUGGGUGACUUGAAUGAUGUCAGGCAAUCAGUGCAAUUGAAAUAUGUCAAAAAUGGCUCCAUCAACGCACCCGGCUCAUAUUUAGCUAUAAAAUGUGAGGCCAGGUUACGAACCGGAAGCAUUUCUUUCAACCAAAGUCAUUUGGAAAGGAAUAUCUUUGACACAUCCUUGCUGCCCCUUCCCCCAUUGCGGUGUCCCUGGCUGUGUGGCUGGCAGCCUGGCUCUUGGUGAGUCGCAGCUGCACCUGUGCCCACCUUCUCACCACGGGAGUAGGUGCUUCUCCUUUGGGCACCUUCUGGCUUUGCACCGUAAAAGUGAAAUACGGUGUGGUCCUGCAAGCUGCUUCUCCAGUGAUGUGAAAAGCGUAAGAGAGAGGCUCUGGGAAGGGGCAGAUGCUGCAGGUGCAAUGAUGCCAGCUGUUGAGGACGGUGCCCUGUGCCUGGGGAAGUACAUGCUGUAACUGGAGCUCCACCUUGGUACCCCACCGCUGGACCCUCCAAAGAGAGCUCUGACAUGUAUGAAGUUUCAUAUACUCAAUUCCUUUACCGCUGGACUUGUGAGAAUUGUAUGAGGAAGGCCACUUUGAGGAUCAUAUUCAUGCUGGCAAUAAUGACAUGAAAAGCAACAGUAAUAGUAGCAACUAUCGUCAAGGUCCCAUAGGUACCAGUUUUCAUGCUUAACAGCACAACCAUCUCAUCCCUGGAACCAAGCAUCCCUGGAACCAAGCAAGAUCAGUGCUGUUGAUCUUCAUUUUGCAAUUGAGGUAACGGAGGCUCAGUUAACUUAAGUAACUUGUCAGGGGUACAAAGUAAGUAUAAGUGGCUGAGCUGUGAUUCAGAUCCAGGCCCAUCUGAUGCGAUAGCUCAUUCUUUUCUCCAUGACAUCAGGAGGCCUCCUCCUCCCUUGUGUUGCUCAGAGUUCUGAUAAGAAUCAGAUUUCUAGGUGAAUCACAAGAAGGUGACUAUUCUGGUUAGAUAACGGGAGAAUGGGCCCCAUCAUGGCAACAGACUCCUAAGACUCAUACAUCACAAGAAAGGGCUCCCUACAGCUUUGACACUAGGGUGCUUCUCUGUGCACCUCCUUGCUCCCCUCCCAUGAGAAGGACUGUCUUUCAUCCUCAUAGCUAUUAUUUUUGAAACAUCAGUUUUAAUUUGGGGCACCCGCUCUCUUCGGGAGAUUGCAAAAAUUAAAUCGUUUUUAAGCAACCCAACAACACUUCUGGGGUUUGUAAUAAACUUGUGAAAUUUGCGGAACUUGGUGGUUGAGGUUCUCUCCGUCCUACUUCCCUGGGGCCCCGAGGAGCUUUCGAGUUGGUUCUUCAUGCCCUCUUGUUUGGAGCUGCUUUUGUCAACUGGGCCCAGCUACUGCGUCUUGGACCAAGGAGGCGAUGAGCCCUGAAACAGUCCAGGGUCUCUAGGAGAGCAACUCCCAAACCAUGUUUCUGGCCCUGCCUUCCCUCUGUUAUUCUGGGGAAAAAACUGACCCUACGUGGGUGGGAGGUCCCAUCUACAGAGACCAGCCUUGUUUGUUUCCAUAGGAUUUGACUACUGAGGGGCACGAAAAUACAUAGCCAACUUCCCCUUGCAGAGUUCACUGUCUCCCCUUCCAGCAGAUGACUCCAGGAUCCUUGGAAGCAUAGGAACACACCCCAGUUGAUGACACUGUUUCCUCUCCUCUGCAGAAGAAGAUCCUCUCCACUCACAGGAAACAGCAGCAAGAUGGUUUCCAGGCACCAGCUGUCACUGGGCUUGUACUGUUACAGUCCAAGCUGAGCACGCAAGGCAGGGUGUGUUUCUGGCUCCCCAUAGCUGAAAGCUCAACUUCAUGUGGUCAGGUCUUGGAUGGCGUCAAGGCCUGUAGGGUGAACAGAACUCUCUGAGUCACCUUUCCCUGCUGUUCAGGGCCUUGAUAUAACAGACAGGGCCAUUGGCUCCACAGGGGCAUGGUGGGGAAGAAGGGUCCAGGAAGGCACUUUGCCUUUGUGUCUUGUCCUUGGUAUUUGGAGGGCAACACCCCUGUAUUUUUCUAAUCCUAUUAGCUAAGAAUCUGGAACCUGGGCCAGAGGCCUGGGUUCUAACACUAUCUCCACCGUUUCCCAACCAUGGAUACACCCUAUACUUUCCCUCGUCUGUACAGUGGAGCUAAUAAUAGUACCUAACUCAUGGAACUAUCAUGAGUCUUAAAUGAGUGUUAACACGCAUGAAGUGAAGUGCUUAUAUCUGGCAGAUAGUAAAUGUGUAUUAUCAAUUUAAUUUACACUAUUAUUUGACUGUAUUUCUACUAUACAGAGCAACUAUUGCCUGGUCAUAUGUCCUAACAAAUAAACUGUGGAGACAGACAAGUAACUGUCUCAGUGCUAAGGACACCACUGACCCUCAACAGAAUAAUGCCCCCUAAAGAUGUGUAGACCCUAAUCCCCGGAAUCUGGGAAUGUGUUAGGUUACACGGCAAAGGCAAAGGAAGGUUGCAGGAGGAGCUGAGGCUGCAAAUCAGCUGACCUUACAGUGGGAAGAGAAGCCUGAGUUCUCCAGGUGAGACCAAUGUCCAGCAUCCUGGCUGAGCCUGCUCCCUUUACAAACAAGGUUAGGAUUUAUAACUGCUUUCAUGGUAACAUCUGGCUCAUUUCUCUCAAGUUCCCCCAACUCUUUUUUUUUUUUUAGUAUACAAAUCUUUAUUCUAAAGUCAUUUCAUUUCGGCUCAAUUCCUUCUCUCUCUCUUUCUACCUGUUUGUUUGGCCUUUGGAGAUUGAGAAUGAGAAGUAACAGGACUCAUUACCCACAGCUAGUCACAAGAGGAGACAGAGGGAGAGUGAAUGCAAAAGAAAGGUACCAGAGAGGCCACCUUGCUGGCUGUCAAGGUGGAGUAAAGAGGCCACAAGCCAAGGGGUGUAGGCGGCCUGGUCUCUUCUGCAGCUGCUUUUUAAAACUCUAGGACUUUCUUCCACCAACAAAUUCUUUAGGUUUUAUCAGAGUUAGGAGGCAGUUAGCAUCUGCAACAAUAGAAAGAAUAUGUAUUAUUUGGAAUGCUUGUGUGGCUUAUACAGCUCCCAACCAGUUCGGGAGUCUUAACACAUUGUGCUAAAAGAUGCUGAAGGCUGGGUUUCCACUUCCCAAACAAUUUCAUUCUCUAAGAAAACUGCCGAUAAAGAUAAAAAACAUUACAGCCAAAUGGAGUCUUGCCUGAAUCCCAGGCCCUGCCACAUCGACCGCUGGUUCUAUCAGUGGCCAGUGUUCUGGAAACGCUUCCCCGACAUCAAGGAAGCCGGAUCCUCCCCACACAGUGAUGGGUUCUAGGCCAUUUUUGCUGCCUCGGUCUGGGAGCUCACCAUCCUCAGAAGCUCCCAGCACCUGGAGAUGUCUCGCAUCCUGGCUGAGCCUGCUCCCUUUAGCAAACAAGGUCAGGAUUUGUAACUGCUUUUGUGGCAACAUCUGGCUUAUUU
rnacentral:lncRNA from 1 species